rnacentral:rRNA from 1 species
AUUGAACGCUGGCGGCAGGCCUAACACAUGCAAGUCGAGCGGAUGAAGGGAGCUUGCUCCUGGAUUCAGCGGCGGACGGGUGAGUAAUGCCUAGGAAUCUGCCUGGUAGUGGGGGAUAACGUCCGGAAACGGGCGCUAAUACCGCAUACGUCCUGAGGGAGAAAGUGGGGGAUCUUCGGACCUCACGCUAUCAGAUGAGCCUAGGUCGGAUUAGCUAGUUGGUGGGGUAAAGGCCUACCAAGGCGACGAUCCGUAACUGGUCUGAGAGGGUGACCAGUCACACUGGAACUGAGACACGGUCCAGACUCCUACGGGAGGCAGCAGUGGGGAAUAUUGGACAAUGGGCGAAAGCCUGAUCCAGCCAUGCCGCGUGUGUGAAGAAGGUCUUCGGAUUGUAAAGCACUUUAAGUUGGGAGGAAGGGCAGUAAGUUAAUACCUUGCUGUUUUGACGUUACCAACAGAAUAAGCACCGGCUAACUUCGUG